UCGCAAUGCCCGAAAGGGUGACGAAGCGACGCCGCGUGUGGGAAGAAGGCCUUCGGGUUGUAAACCACUGUCGGGAGUUAGGAAAUGUAAGGGUGUUAAUAGCAUCCUUACUUGACUAAGGCUCCGGAGGAGCCACGGCUAACUCUGUGCCAGCAGCCGCGGUAAUACAGAGGCGGCAAGCGUUGUUCGGAAUUAUUGGGCGUAAAGAGCACGUAGGCGGCCUUGUAAGUCAGUUGUGAAAGCCUUCUGCUUAACGGAAGAACAGCAGCUGAUACUGCAAGGCUAGAGUGCGGAAGGGGAGAGUGGAACUUCUGGUGGAGCGGUGAAAUGCGUAGAUAUCAGAAGGAACACCGGCGGCGAAGGCGACUCUCUGGUCCGUAACUGACGCUGAGUGUGCGAAAGCURGGGGAGCAAACGGGAUUAGAUACCCCGGUAGUCCUAGCCGUAAACGAUGGGCACUAA
rnacentral:rRNA from 1 species